CUACUCUGCUCUCCUUAGCUUCCAGCCUCCCAUCUUCUUGAACCAAGAGUCAUGCCUUUGAUUAAGCUGCAGAGUCCCAAUGGAGAGAGAGUUAAUGAUACAACCAGAUACAUGUAACUACAGAGACUAUGUUGGAAGACUUGAAAUGAGAUGAAGUGAGAUGAAGGAGAUGAAGAAAUGAAACUCCCCAACUGAAGACAGAGACUGAAAGCUGCAGACAAGAAGGGCAGAGUACCCACACAGGAAAUCAAGCUGAAGUGCCACCUGCAGACACUUAACAGACUACAAGCAAAUAGAAGACGGCAAGCAAAGGAUUCUGGGUCUUCAUCAUGAGGCUUGCCAUGCUGCAGCUCCCAAACAGCAACUGGGCAAACCCAUCUGGUCCCACCUCACAUAGAUCUGCUGUUGUUCCUGUUACAAGGCCUCAGGAAGCCCCAGAUGACCACUACAGGGCUGAGCCCCCCACCUCCCCAUCGGCUUAUCAGACGGGAUAAAUGCAAAUGAAGGAGAGUGAGAAGUAAAGAGCUGAAGACCUCAAUAUAGAGCAGUGGUUCUCAACCUUCCCGCUGCUGAGACCCUUUAAUACAAUCCUUCACGUUACGGUGACCCCAACUGUAAAAUUAUUUUCAUCGCUAACUCCUAACUGUAAUUUUGUUACUGUUAUGAACAUAAUGUAAAUACUUGAUGCGCAGGAUAUCUGAUACGUGACUCCUCAACUCACAGGGUGAGAACUACUGGGAAGGCUUAUAACCAAAGGACCUGGAACUACGCACUUCAGAGGAGAAAAAAAAAAAAAAAAGGCAGGGAUGUGAAAGGACAAAGCAAGAAACACAGGAACAGAAACUUUAGGUAUCUACAAGACAUGAGAAAGUGUGAAACGGAAAGGCUUGAGGGAGGGUGGACAGAGUGAAGCUCUCAACUUUCUGUCUAUACCCGCUCUACAGAGCACAAGGGUUUUGUGUCAGGCCACCAAGGAAGAAGCAUUAGAAGUGAUUGUGUAAAGGACUGUUUAACCAUGUGUAUGUGUCUGUAUCUGUGUGCACAGUGUGCGAGUGCAGGCGUCUGCAGAGGCCAGAGCCGUCAGGUCCUGCUGGAGCUAGACUUAUCACAAGUUGUGAGCUGCUUGACUUGGGUGCUGGGAACCCAUCUCUGCUCCUCCCAAAGCAGUAUAGCCUCUCACUCAGCCGUCUCUCCAGGCGACUUAACUCUUUCACUGUCUUCUUCUCAUGACCUUCUGAAGCUGAGUCUUUCGGGCCCUUGUACUGGCUGGCUGUGUGUCAGCUUGACACUAGCUAGAGUCAUCAGAGAGGAAGGAGCCUCCUUUGAGAACAUGCCUCCAUGAGAUGCAGCUGUAAGGCAUUUUUCUGUUAGUCAUCAGUGGGGGAGGGCCCAGCCCACUGUGGGUGAUGCCAAUCCCGUGUUGGUGGUCCUGAGUUCUGUAAGAAAGCAGGCUGAGAAAACCAUGUAAAGCGAGCCAGUAAGCAGGACCUCUCCAUGGCCUCUGCAUCAGCUCCUGCCUCCAGGAUCCUGCCCUGUUCUAGCUUCCUUUGGUGAUGAUCAGAGAUGUGAAC